UACGUAGGGGGCUAGCGUUGUCCGGAAUCAUUGGGCGUAAAGAGCGCGUAGGCGGCCAGAUAAGUCCGGUGUGAAAGUCAAAGGCUCAACCUUUGAAUGCCGCUGGAAACUGUCUGGCUAGAGUCCGGAAGGGGCGAGUGGAACUCCUGGUGUAGCGGUGGAAUGCGCAGAUAUCAGGAAGAACACCGACGGCGAAGGCAGCUCGCUGGGACGGUACUGACGCUGAGGCGCGAAAGCGUGGGGAGCGAACAGG
rnacentral:rRNA from 1 species